CCUACGGGGGGCAGCAGUGAGGAAUAUUGGUCAAUGGACGAGAGUCUGAACCAGCCAAGUAGCGUGAAGGAUGACUGCCCUCUGGGUUGUAAACUUCUUUUAUAUGGGAAUAAAAUGUUCCACGUGUGGGAUUUUGUAUGUACCAUAUGAAUAAGGAUCGGCUAACUCCGUGCCAGCAGCCGCGGUAAUACGGAGGAUCCGAGCGUUAUCCGGAUUUAUUGGGUGUAAAGGGAGCGUAGGUGGAUUGUUAAGUCAGUUGUGAAAGUUUGCGGCUCAACCGUAAAAUUGCAGUUGAAACUGGCAGGCUUGAGUACAGUAGAGGUGGGCGGAAUUCAUGGUGUAGCGGUGAAAUGCUUAGAUAUCACGAAGAACUCCGAUUGCGAAGGCAGCUCACUGGACUGCAACUGACACUGAGGCUCGAAAGUGUGGGUAUCAAACAGGAUUAGAUACCCUGGUAGUC
rnacentral:rRNA from 1 species